rnacentral:rRNA from 1 species
GAUGAACGCUGGCGGCGUGCCUAAUACAUGCAAGUCGAGCGAACGGACGAGAAUCUUGCUUCUCUGAUGUUAGCGGCGGACGGGUGAGUAACACGUGGAUAACCUACCUAUAAGACUGGGAUAACUUCGGGAAACCGGAGCUAAUACCGGAUAAUAUUUUGAACCGCAUGGUUCAAAAGUGAAAGACGGUCUUGCUGUCACUUAUAGAUGGAUCCGCGCUGCAUUAGCUAGUUGGUAAGGUAACGGCUUACCAAGGCAACGAUGCAUAGCCGACCUGGGAGGGUGAGCGGCCACACUGGAACUGGGACACGGUCCAGACCCCUACGGGAGGCAGCAGUAGGGAAUCUUCCGCAAUGGGCGAAAGCCUGACGGAGCAACGCCGCGUGAGUGAUGAAGGUCUUCGGAUCGUAAAACUCUGUUAUUAGGGAAGAACAUAUGUGUAAGUAACUGUGCACAUCUUGACGGUACCUAAUCAGAAAGCCACGGCUAACUACGUG